UUCCGUAGGUGAACCUGCGAAGAUCAUAAUAAAUGGUCUACGUUUUUUAAGUAGACGCUUAUAAUCUACCCUUUGUGAAUUUGUUGUUUGAAAUAUUUUUUUUAAAAUUAUUGAUGUCUUUCCUGUUGAAUUGUUUGUCUUAAUGGCAAAUGAUUCGCAGGGAGUGUCAGUAAUUUUAAAAAGACCUUUUUUUAAAUUAAACUUUUGUAUUCAUUGUCUAAAAUUAUUUUAUAAUAUAAAAACAACUUUUGACAAUGGAUUCUUGUUCUCGCAACGAUGAAGAACGCAGCAAAAUGCGAUAAGUAGUGUGAAUUGCAGAUACGUGAAUCAUCGAAUCUUGAACGCAUAUUGCACUUUUUGUUUACUAAAAAGUAGUCUGUUUGAGUAUCAGUAAAUAUUCUCAUAAAACUUUUGUUUUAUGUUAUGAGUGUUUUACAACGAUACAAGUUGUUUCACUUUAAAUUUUUUUAAAAUUUGAAUUUUUCUAAUUUUAAAUAAAAUGGAUAAAAUUUCCCGUAAAAAAGGAAUAACCUAAACAAUUUAAUUUUGAUUAGAAUCUUCAAUUAUAAAGGAAAAUUUAACUAAUAACUUGAUCUCAAAUCAGAUAGAGUACCGCUGAACUUAAGCAUAUCAAUAAGCGGAGGAAAAGAAACUAACAAGGAUUCCUUAGUAACGGCGAUGAAGCGGGAAGAGCUCAAAUUUGAAAUCUUCAAGGUUUUACCUUGACGAUUGUAGUUUAAAGAAGUGUUUUCUGUUGAAGUUUUGGUAAAAGUCCUUGAAUAGACAUCAUAGAGGUGAGAAUCCUAUUUGACCAUUAUUUUCAGCUGUGUGAUACACUUUCAAAGAGUCGGAUUGUUUGGAAUGCAGUCCAAAAUGGUGGUAAAUUUCAUCUAAAGCUAAUAUUGCGAGAGACGAUAGCGAACAAGUACGUGAGGGAAGAUGAAAAGAACUUUGAAAGAGAGUUAAACAGUACGUGAAAUUGUCAAAAGGAAGCGUUUGACACCAGUGUUGUUUCUCGAAAUCAAUUAAAAAGAGUUGGAUUUUGUGUUGUAUUGACCUUAACAGCUUGCUUCACUCUUUUCUUGCUUUUUUUAAUGCACUUUUCGUUUAACAGUCAACAUCAGUUUCUUUUGUUGUAAAAGGUCAUUGGAAGGUGGCUUUCUCUUCGGAGAAAGUGUUUAUAGCUUUGAUCUCUGCAAUCGGAGAGACUGAGGUCUGCAGCGUAGAUCUUCGGGUUAGAUACAUUUGUGCUAAGCUACAGUUUCCAUAGACAACUUGUUGACUAUGUUUAGUCUUGUAACUUACCCGCUUAUGCUAUUUUACCUACGCUUAGGAUGUUG
rnacentral:misc_RNA from 1 species